rnacentral:rRNA from 1 species
AUUGAACGCUGGCGGCAGGCCUAACACAUGCAAGUCGAGCGGAUGAAGGGAGCUUGCUCCUGGAUUCAGCGGCGGACGGGUGAGUAAUGCCUAGGAAUCUGCCUGGUAGUGGGGGAUAACGUCCGGAAACGGGCGCUAAUACCGCAUACGUCCUGAGGGAGAAAGAGGGGGUCCUUGGGACAUAAGGCUACCAGAGGGGCCUAGGCCGGAUUAGCUAGUUGGUGGGGUAAAGGCCUACCAAGCCGACGAUCCGUAACUGGUCUGAGAGGAUGAUCAGUCACACUGGAACUGAGACACGGUCCAGACUCCUACGGGAGGCAGCAGUGGGGAAUAUUGGACAAUGGGCGAAAGCCUGAUCCAGCCAUGCCGCGUGUGUGAAGAAGGUCUUCGGAUUGUAAAGCACUUUAAGUUGGGAGGAAGGGCAGUAAGUUAAUACCUUGCUGUUUUGACGUUACCAACAGAAUAAGCACCGGCUAACUUCGUG